AUGGCAUCUUGGCUCUGGAGAAAGCUGCGUGGCAAGAGGCGGUUGGCGAUGGCAUUCUGCCUCUUAAUGACUUUGUCUGUGGUGACUGUCACCCGCUUGCCCACACAGCGCCCAGCCGCUGGCCCAGAUCCUGGCCCCAUGGAGCCCCAGGGGGUUGCUGAUGCCCCUGCCCCCCAGAGUCGGCAGGCUCUGAGCUCCAGCUGGAGGCAGAGGGCAAGAAGGUUGAGGAGAAGCUGGGCCUUGCCCAGGAGCUCCAUCCUGGUGUGUGCUGAGGAGCAAGGCCACAGAGGGCACAUGGACAGCAGAAGACGGUCCCCAGGGAAGGAGAGCAGCCAUCCAGGGAGGAUUAGGAAUGACAUUACUUUGGCAUCUCCAGAAGACCUGAGACUCAGUACCCGGCGUCUUGUGCUCCUGCAGGGGGAGGCGAUCAGGGGUCCAGGAGCCAAAGACCUGGACCCACCCUGGCACCAUGGUCCCCUCCCGGAGGCACUCAGUGAGAAAAGCACCCCAGGUGGCCCCCUCGCAGGGCAUGACAUGUCAGCCUUACAGCCUCGGAGAGCUACUGCUGGACUGAUCCUCCAGCCUCCUCCAGAAGGCGGGGGUCUGCCAGGAGUGGGGAACAGAGCCUGGACUGGUAGCCAACAAGUGGGGGGUCCUGCCCCCACCAAAGGGGCUCAUUGGUGGCCUGGCUCUGUUAGGGAGCUGCAAGGGUCUGUCUGGUGUGACACUGAGAUCCCUGGGCUGUCGAGUGGCUUCAGGACCAGCAAGCAGGUCCCCCCGUGGCUCACAGAGCAGGAUGUGCAGACCCUCCAGCUUCUGGCCCAGGGGGAGGUGGUGGGCAAAGCCCGGGUGCCUGGCCACGGGCAGGUGCUGCUAGUCGGUUUCUCCAGCGAGGGGGCCCUUCAGGAUGCAGCUCCUGGGCUCAGUCAGCUCUGCUCCCAGGGGCUCUGUGGCUUGAUCAAGAGGCCCAGGGACCUGUCCGAGGUCCUGUCCUUCCACGUAGACCGCGUGCUGGGGUUGCGCCGGAGCCUGCCUGCGGUGGCCAGGCGUUUCCACAGCCCGCUGCUGCCCUACCGCUACACGGAUGGCAGCGCCCGGCCCGUCAUCUGGUGGGCGCCUGACGUGCAGCACCUGGGUGACCCCGAGGACGACCAGAACUCUCUGGCUUUGGGCUGGCUGCAGUACCAGGCCCUGCUGGCACGUGGCUGUGGCCGACCCAGCCAUGCCCCAUGCCUGGGCAUCCACCACGCUGAGUGGGCACGCCUGGCCGUCUUUGACUUCCUGCUGCAGGUGCAUGACCGCCUGGAUCGCUACUGCUGCGGCUUCGAGCCCGAGCCCUCGGACCCCUGUGUGGAAGAGAGACUCCGAGAGAAAUGCCGGAACCCCGGGGAGCUGCGGCUGGUCCACAUCCUGGUCCGGAGCAGUGACCCCACUCGUCUGGUCUACAUUGAUAACGCUGGCCACCUUCAGCACCCGGAGCACAAGCUGAACUUCCGGCUUCUCGAGGGCAUCGAUGGGUUUCCUGAGCCUGUCAUGAAGGUUCUGGAAUCAGGGUGUCUACAGAAUAUGCUGCUCAAGUCGCUGCAGAUGGACCCAGUGUUCUGGGAAAGCCAAGGUGGGAGACAGGGCCUUCAGCAAGUCCUCCAGACCCUGGAGCAGCGAGCACAGGUCCUGCUGCACCACAUCCGGACGCACAACCUGACAAUCUUCCCGGAGCGAGUCACUCACUACACAACCUGA
rnacentral:lncRNA from 1 species